UCGCCUGUUUAUCAAAAACAUAGCCUCUGGCAUACACAGUAUCAGAGGUAACGCCUGCCCAGUGAUUAUUUUUAACGGCCGCGGUAUCCUAACCGUGCAAAGGUAGCGCAAUCACUUGUCCCCUAAAUAGUGACUAGUAUGAACGGCCACACGAGAAUAAACCUGUCUCUUUUAACAAAUCAGUGAAACUGAUCUCCCAGUACAAAAGCUGGAACACCAACAUAAGACGAAAAGACCCUGUGGAGCUUAAAUACUACCCUACCCCCCCCCUAGUUUAAGUAUUUCAGUUGGGGCAACUUCGGAAUCAAACUAAACUUCCGACCAAACUCCGGAAACACCGCUAUUAUAGACCAACACGUCAAACCCUUGAAUAAGACCCAGUAAUCCACUGACCAACGAACCAAGUUACCCCAGGGAUAACAGCGCCAUCUUCUUCUAGAGCCCCCAUCGACAAGAAGGUUUACGACCUCGAUGUUGGAUCAGGACACCCCAAUAGCGCAGCCGCUAUUAAAGGUUCGUUUGUUCAACGAUUAAAGCCCUACGUGAUCUGAGUUCAGACCGGA
rnacentral:rRNA from 1 species